rnacentral:rRNA from 1 species
GAUGAACGCUGGCGGCGUGCUUAACACAUGCAAGUCGAACGGAGCACUUUUGAAAGAGGAUUCGUCCAAUUGAUAAAGUUGCUUAGUGGCGGACGGGUGAGUAACGCGUGAGGAACCUGCCUCGGAGUGGGGAAUAACAGUUAGAAAUGACUGCUAAUACCGCAUAAUACAGUUGAGUCGCAUGGCUCUGACUGUCAAAGAUUUAUCGCUCUGAGAUGGCCUCGCGUCUGAUUAGCUAGUUGGUGGGGUAACGGCCCACCAAGGCGACGAUCAGUAGCCGACCUGAGAGGGUGAUCGGCCACAUUGGAACUGAGAAACGGUCCAA